rnacentral:rRNA from 1 species
GUAAUUGGGGCGCAGCCUGAUGCAGCCAUGCCGCGUGUGUGAAGAAGGCCUUCGGGUUGUAAAGCACUUUAAGGCGGGGGGAAAGUGGCGGCGGGGAUAGAGGCGUGGCAGGAGGUGAGGGAAAGAAGAAGCACCGGCUAACUCCGGGCCAGCAGGCGCGGUAAUACGGAGGGUGCGAGCGUUAAUCGGAAUUACUGGGCGUAAAGCGCAUGCAAGUGGUUUGUUAAGUCAGAUGUGAAAGCCCGGGGCUCAACCUCUGAAUAGCAUUUGAAACUGGCAGACUAGAGUACUGUAAAGGGGGGUAGAAUUUCAGGUGUAGCGGUGAAAUGCGUAAAGAUCUGAAAGAAUACCGGUGGCGAAGGCGGCCCCCUGGACAGAUACUGACCCUCAGAUGCCAAAGCGUGGGGAGCAAACAGGAUUAGAUACCCUGGUAGUCCACGCCGUAAACGAUGUCUACUUGGAGGUUGUGGCCUUGAGCCGUGGCUUUCGGAGCUAACGCGUUAAGUAGACCGCCUGGGGAGUACGGUCGCAAGAUUAAAACUCAAAUGAAUUGACGGGG